AUGGACCUUGGACGCCUCAAUUAUGGGAUCAUUACCCUCAUCCCAAAGGUUUCGGGCGCCUCUGAUAUUCGCCAGUUCCAUCCCAUCACCGUGAUUAACGUGAUAUUCCGGAUCCUGGCCAAAGGGUACGCCAAUAGGGUGACCCUGCUUGCUAACUCGAUCACUCACCCGAACCAAUCGGCCUUCAUCUAAGGCCGGUUUAUUUUAGAUGGCGUGUUGGUCUUCCAUGAAGUCCUUCACGAAGUUCAGGUGAAACAACAUCGCGCUGUCUUCCUGAAGCUGGACUUUCAUAGAGCUUAUGAUACUGUGCACUGGCCUUUCCUUCAGGAAGUGCUG
rnacentral:rRNA from 1 species